GACGAACGCUGGCGGCGUGCCUAAUACAUGCAAGUAGGACGCAGUUGCGAACGGGUGAGUAACGCGUAGGUCACUACAUAUUCGAGGGGGAUAACAAUUGGAAACGAUAGCUAAUACCGCAUACUAGUAGAUUGAACUGCGGUAUCUAAGAUAGUAGGUAGGGUAAUGGCCUAACUAGGCAACGAUACAUAGUCGAGCUGAGAGGGUGGUCGGCCACACUGGGACUGAGUCACGGCCCAGACUCCUACGGGUGUCAGCAGUAGAGAAUCUUCGGCAAUGGGGGGCACCCUGACCGUGCAACGCCGCGGGAGUGAAGAAGGUUUUCGGAUCGUAAAGCUCUGUUGUUAAGGAAGAGUUACUUAACCAGAAAGGGACGGCUAACUACGUGCCAGCCGCCGCGGUAAUAC
rnacentral:rRNA from 1 species